rnacentral:rRNA from 1 species
AGCGAACGCUGGCGGCAGGCUUAACACAUGCAAGUCGAACGGGCAUAGGCAAUAUGUCAGUGGCAGACGGGUGAGUAACGCGUGGGAACAUACCUCUUGGUUCGGAACAACACAGGGAAACUUGUGCUAAUACCGGAUAAGCCCUUACGGGAAAGAUUUAUCGCCGAGAGAUUGGCCCGCGUCUGAUUAGCUAGUUGGUGUGGUAAAAGACGCACCAAGGCGACGAUCAGUAGCUGGUCUGAGAGGAUGAUCAGCCACAUUGGGACUGAGACACGG